rnacentral:misc_RNA from 1 species
UUUCCGUAGGUGAACCUGCGGAAGGAUCAUUAAAGAGUUGUCAUGGGGUUCGAUGCUGGCAGCCAGUUUUUGGAUGCAUGUGCUUGCCCUAACAAUCAUCUUCUUCCAAACACCUGUGCACAUUUUUGAGGGAGUCUUGAGUUGGUUGCCGCUCUUGGGUGAUUUUCUCACAUUCCCUUAAAUCAUUAUACGCUAUUAACAAUGUUGAACGUGCUCUGUGCCGCAAGGCCAUUAAUAUAAUACAACUUUUAACAACGGAUCUCUUGGCUCUC